GGGUUGUGAGGUUAAGCGACUAAGCGUACACGGUGGAUGCCCUGGCAGUCAGAGGCGAUGAAGGACGUGCUAAUCUGCGAUAAGCGCCGGUAAGGUGAUAUGAACCGUUAUAACCGGCGAUUUCCGAAUGGGGAAACCCAGUGUGAUUCGUCACACUAUCAUUAACUGAAUCCAUAGGUUAAUGAGGCGAACCGGGGGAACUGAAACAUCUAAGUACCCCGAGGAAAAGAAAUCAACCGAGAUUCCCCCAGUAGCGGCGAGCGAACGGGGAGGAGCCCAGAGCCUGAAUCAGCAUGUGUGUUAGUGGAAGCGUCUGGAAAGGCGCGCGAUACAGGGUGACAGCCCCGUACACAAAAGCGCAUGUGCUGUGAGCUCGAUGAGUAGGGCGGGACACGUGGUAUCCUGUCUGAAUAUGGGGGGACCAUCCUCCAAGGCUAAAUACUCCUGACUGACCGAUAGUGAACCAGUACCGUGAGGGAAAGGCGAAAAGAACCCCGGCGAGGGGAGUGAAAAAGAACCUGAAACCGUGUACGUACAAGCAGUGGGAGCCCCACCACUAAGCCAGUGGUGAACUCCACAUCCGCAUCCUUUGCUGAGGAUACGGUUAACGGAGCGAAAGCGACGUUCAACCGCAAAACAAGCAGAGGGGGCUUAGUGGUGGGGUGACUGCGUACCUUUUGUAUAAUGGGUCAGCGACUUAUAUUCUGUAGCAAGGUUAACCGAAUAGGGGAGCCGGAGGGAAACCGAGUCUUAAUUGGGCGUUAAGUUGCAGGGUAUAGACCCGAAACCCGGUGAUCUAGCCAUGGGCAGGUUGAAGGUUGGGUAACACUAACUGGAGGACCGAACCGACUAAUGUUGAAAAAUUAGCGGAUGACCUGUGGCUGGGGGUGAAAGGCCAAUCAAACCGGGAGAUAGCUGGUUCUCCCCGAAAGCUAUUUAGGUAGCGCCUCGUGAAUUCAUCUCCGGGGGUAGAGCACUGUUUCGGCUAGGGGGCCAUCCCGGCUUACCAACCCGAUGCAAACUGCGAAUACCGGAGAAUGUUAUCACGGGAGACACACGGCGGGUGCUAACGUCCGUCGUGAAGAGGGAAACAACCCAGACCGCCAGCUAAGGUCCCAAAGUCAUGGUUAAGUGGGAAACGAUGUGGGAAGGCCCAGACAGCCAGGAUGUUGGCUUAGAAGCAGCCAUCAUUUAAAGAAAGCGUAAUAGCUCACUGGUCGAGUCGGCCUGCGCGGAAGAUGUAACGGGGCUAAACCAU
rnacentral:rRNA from 1 species